rnacentral:tRNA from 1 species
CAAAUAAUAAUUUAUAUAAAAUAUUAUCUUUGGGAGAUAACAAUCCUUUAACAGGUUAUUUGA